GCGUUGAAAGUGUAAUGGAUUAGCACGACAGACGAGAUGUCUGUAAGUGCGGGUUCAAGUCCUGCCCGAAGUU
rnacentral:tRNA from 1 species